rnacentral:lncRNA from 1 species
CAAGUGGGUUCACUUCCCGUGGACGCCGGAUGAAAAGGCGGCCUUGAAUGUUUCCUACGGCUGCCGGCGCCAUAGGAUGCGUGGACGGCAGCGACGCAGCGUUGCCGUCAUCAUUGCACCGAAGGGUGACCAUCACAAGGCGGCAUUUUAUCCCCGCAAAGGACAUUAUGCCCACAUCGUCAUGCUAAUCUGCGACGCAGGCAUCGGAAUCCUGCCGUGAACCACUGAGUCUGGGAUCAGACUAUGACGCCCACGUCUGGCGGACGACGCGGCUGCGUGAGCGCAUCGAAGGGGCCCGGAUUGCCGCGGCCGUACCUUCUGGCUUCUAGGUGACAGAGGCUACAAACCAGGACCAUGGCUCCUGACACCUCUCCGAGGCUGUCCUCUCAGAAACGGUGUUAAAAAGGCAAGUGCUACACCGCACAUGCUGCAAUGCAGUCUGUAAUGAAGCGUUGUGCUGGGCGUUUGAAAAGCUGCUUCCGCUGCGUUCAGCAGUGCAGUUGUACCCUCCAUUAAGAAUCAGAAUGUGCAUCUCACAUUGCUGCAGCAUGUGCAGUGUUGCACUUGCCUUUACAUUGCAGAAGGUGACAGAAAUGUUCAUGAUUUCAGCGAGCGAUGAUUCCAAUAGUGAGCAUGGCAGUGUUGUCAGGGAUGACCCCGAACCACUGCUUAGACAAGGAAGGUCAUCACGCUCCUCAUGUAUUCCUGGACAAGCUGUCCGCAGUGGUAAUCCGCUAUUUGGCUAACUGCACCACUGACAACAGCACUAGGCAAGUGUCAUUUCAGUGAGAAACAUGUGCCUAAGAAGUAACAAUAAUAUAUGUGGUUUUC